rnacentral:rRNA from 1 species
UCGCCCUCAAAUCAGGUAGGACUACCCGCUGAACUUAAGCAUAUCAAUAAGCGGAGGAAAAGAAACCAACAGGGAUUGCCCCAGUAACGGCGAGUGAAGCGGCAAAAGCUCAAAUUUGAAAUCCUGCGGGAAUUGUAAUUUGAAGGUUUCGUGGUCUGAGUCGGCCGCGCCCAAGUCCAUUGGAACAUGGCGCCUGGGAGGGUGAGAGCCCCGUAUGGCGCA